rnacentral:lncRNA from 1 species
AAUGAAAUAAAGGAUUUAUGAUUCUUGUAAAAAUGAAAGUGAUUUUCUACCCCUCGUGGUAGCGUGUUUUAAAAAGGAAAAGGUUUCCGUGUAGGAAAAGUUUUUAAAAGGUUUUCUUGAUUUUCAUGACUUAGUGUUUUAAAAACGAGUUUUCGUGUAGGAAACAUUUUAAACCGAUAGUUGUGGAUUUAUGGAUAAUUCUAAAUGUAAUUGUGAAUGUGAAUGGUGUAUGAAUAUGUGAAUGUUCAUGUGUGGUUGUAUCCUGUAUCGUGAAUCUUGCAUCUUGUACUUGUACGACGCCAUGCAAAUACAGGAAAGACUCUGUCCGUGUGAAUAGUGAAUUUCC